UAAUACAUAAGCAAUCUGCCCACAAAGACUGGGAGUAACCUCUGGAAACGGGGACUAAUACCGGAUAGGUAGGAGAGAGGCAUCUUUCUUCUAUUAAAGAUGAGAAGCACUAGUGGAUGAGCUUAUGGCGCAUUAGUUAGUUGGUGAGGUAACGGCCCACCAAGACGAUGAUGCGUAGCCGGCCUGAGAGGGUGAACGGCCACAUUGGGACUGAGACACGGCCCAG
rnacentral:rRNA from 1 species